AGUGAACGCUGGCGGCGUGCUUAACACAUGCAAGUCGAACGAGAACGGAUUAUAGCUUGCUAUAAUUGUCAGCUAAGUGGCGCACGGGUGAGUAAUGUAUAGGUAAUAUGCCUCUUACUAAGGGCUAACAAAUGGAAACGUUUGCUAAUACCUUAUACUCCUUAUUAACAUAAGUUAAUAAGGGAAAGAUUUAUUGGUAAGAGAUUAGCCUGUAUUGUAUCAGUUAGUUGGUGGGGUAAUGGCUUACCAAGACUAUGACACAUAACUGGUUUGAGAGGAUGAUCAGUCACACUGGAACUGAGACACGGUCCAGACUCCUACGGGAGGCAGCAGUGGGGAAUAUUGCACAAUGGACGAAAGUCUGAUGCAGCAACGCUGCGUGGAGGAUGACACAUUUCGGUGCGUAAACUCCUUUUAUAUAAGAAGAUAAUGACGGUAUUAUAUGAAUAAGCACCGGCUAACUCCGUGCCAGCAGCCGCGGUAA
rnacentral:rRNA from 1 species